rnacentral:rRNA from 1 species
GAUGAACGCUGGCGGCAUGCCUAAUACAUGCAAGUCGAACGGGAUAUCUUCGGAUAUCCAGUGGCGAACGGGUGAGUAACACGUAGGUAACCUGCCCAUGUGCCCGGGAUAACGCCUGGAAACGGGUGCUAAACCGGAUAGGUAUCGCUUCUGCAUGGAAGAGAUAUUAAAGGAGCUGCAAGGCUCUGAACAUGGAUGGACCUGCGGUGCAUUAGCUGGUUGGUGAGGUAACGGCCCACCAAGGCGACGAUGCAUAGCCGGCCUGAGAGGGUGAACGGCCACAUUGGGACUGAGACACGGCCCAAACUCCUACGGGAGGCAGCAGUAGGGAAUUUUCGUCAAUGGGGGCAACCCUGAACGAGCAAUGCCGCGUGAGUGAGGAAGGUCUUCGGAUCGUAAAGCUCUGUUGCAGGAGAAAACGGCAGAUAUAGGAAAUGAUAUCUGAGUGAUGGUAACCUGCCAGAAAGUCACGGCUAACUACGUGCC